GAAACGUAGAAAUAGAAGGAAGGACUUUUUGCUUUAUUUCGUUUUGUUUCUGCAGAAAGACUGGCCUUGGAAAAAGGUGCUGGAUGUUAAAAGAUGGGAUGUGCUUGAGGAACUGUGACGGUGCUUUCCUGUGGUAUGAGCUGAAACAGGUGAAUCUCAAGAGGGUCUUGGAACUGAAUUAAUCCUACAACUUCUGAACCCCUGAAGGAAUCAUAUUAAUUCCAGGGAGAGGAUCCCCAGGCUCUAUUUGCAGAAGACAUGACAACUUCACUGAGAACUCCUCUGGUUGAGACAGAGUAGAAUGAAAUAUUGGGAGAGAGGAAUUUUGGAUUUUAAUUUUCUUAAACUUUUACUCAUAAAGUAAGC
rnacentral:lncRNA from 1 species